UCAUUGAUGAAUGGGGUAUGAAACCUUAGAAUUAAAAAAAACCCCAGCAAAUAUAAGUGGAUUAAUUUGGAUGAGCUAAGUGAAAUUUCUGAUGGUGGAAUGAGGAAGAUUCAUGAAGUUGGAUUUCACUUAUUGCCACUGGGCUUUGCCUAAAGCAAAUUGUUCAGCUAAUUUGGAAAAUCUUGCUCAGGUGAAAGAAUUUUCAAGCAACUUCCAGUUAAUCAAAGUUUGAACAAAACUGACAAUAUUUUUUCUUGUCUAGAUAAAGUUUUGGAUAUUUUGAGAAAUGCUGUCUCCGGAGACAUUUCAUGAGUUAAAACUUCUGCAGUACUUUUUAAAGAUGUUAAUAUUUGAUUCACAGGUUCAGCAAAGUGAACCAUUAAAAGUGAAACAAACUUAGCUGAGCGACAAAUUAAAAUGAGCCUCAAGCAGCCAGCACAUUUCUUUUUAAACUUCCAUCUGUCGAGUGUUAGCUUCUAAGGUUGUCGAGCCUCCAGCAUCUCCUUGUUGAUGGAAUUGCAUGCAUGACUGACAGUACUCUUCUCAUCAUUGAUCAGAAUAUCAGCUGACACUUUCAUCAGAGGGUGAAGAGGAAAGUAGUGUGAUGAUCCCUGAUGUCCUCUGAUAAAUUUCAGCAGACAAACAGAUCACCCUUUAAUGCUUACAGUGUCCUCCUUUCUCAGGCACCCUUUCAGUCCAUAAAAGGUUUGAAUUAAAAUCAAGGGUGCAUUCAACAAUUCAUGGGCAUUCAAGUCACCAGUCACCCCAGCCUAAAACAAAAGUUACCUGUUAAAUCUUAAUUAAAGACAUAAUGUUAAAGUA